rnacentral:rRNA from 1 species
GAUCCUGGCUCAGGAUGAACGCUGGCGGCGCGCCUAACACAUGCAAGUCGAACGGCACCCCUCUCCGGAGGGAAGCGAGUGGCGAACGGCUGAGUAACACGUGGAGAACCUGCCCCCUCCCCCGGGAUAGCCGCCCGAAAGGACGGGUAAUACCGGAUACCCCGGGGUGCCGCAUGGCACCCCGGCUAAAGCCCCGACGGGAGGGGAUGGCUCCGCGGCCCAUCAGGUAGACGGCGGGGUGACGGCCCACCGUGCCGACAACGGGUAGCCGGGUUGAGAGACCGACCGGCCAGAUUGGGACUGAGACACGGCCCAGACUCCUACGGGAGGCAGCAGUGGGGAAUCUUGCGCAAUGGGGGGAACCCUGACGCAGCGACGCCGCGUGCGGGACGGAGGCCUUCGGGUCGUAAACCGCUUUCAGCAGGGAAGAGUCAAGACUGUACCUGCAGAAGAAGCCCCGGCUAACUACGUGCCAGCAGCCGCGGUAAUACGUAGGGGGCGAGCGUUAUCCGGAUUCAUUGGGCGUAAAGCGCGCGUAGGCGGCCCGGCAGGCCGGGGGUCGAAGCGGGGGGCUCAACCCCCCGAAGCCCCCGGAACCUCCGCGGCUUGGGUCCGGUAGGGGAGGGUGGAACACCCGGUGUAGCGGUGGAAUGCGCAGAUAUCGGGUGGAACACCGGUGGCGAAGGCGGCCCUCUGGGCCGAGACCGACGCUGAGGCGCGAAAGCUGGGGGAGCGAACAGGAUUAGAUACCCUGGUAGUCCCAGCCGUAAACGAUGGACGCUAGGUGUGGGGGGACGAUCCCCCCGUGCCGCAGCCAACGCAUUAAGCGUCCCGCCUGGGGAGUACGGCCGCAAGGCUAAAACUCAA